ensembl:lncRNA
AUGGAGCACCUCAGCCUGCCCAAACCAUCCCGUCACCCCACAAAGCUGGCUUCAUCCCUGCCUGGCUCCCGGGUGUCCUUGGCCCACCUCCUGCACCUCCGAACUCGCCAGCUGCUCACCACUCACUGUAUUGGCAAUCCACAGGCUUCUUUUCUUCUCCCAGUCCCUCCCUGUCCAAAACAUAACUGCACCCUGCCUGGGCUCCAGCAGAGCCAGCUGGGCCCUGCCCAGGCCCCUCCUGUGAGAGUCACCACUGCGGAGCCAGGCACCCUCCAGCUGUUCCCUUCCUGCACACUCCAGCACCUCGCGGCCACAUCUGCAUCCUGCCCCACACCUGGGAGAGGGACACAGAGAAGGAGCUGGCCAGCACCAACCAUGCAAUAUCGUACCCAUCCCACCCUGCACCCUCUCAUCUCUCCUCCCAGUUUAAGCACCACACUCUUCACCCACCUGAUGGAAAAAGGGUGUCUCUUCACGAAGAGACAAAGUCUUGGAGGAGCUUUCCUCUUCUGCAAGGCUUUUCUGGUAUGUCUCUAUUCCUGUGGACCAGCAGCAUUUAUCCACAGGGCACAAGAAGCAAGUAAAACCCACCACAGUGAGCUGCCAUCCUGAUCCACACAAAAGUGGAGGACAGGUUUGGGGAAAGCUUUUCCUGUAGCUCACACACAGGUAAGAAUCAUUAAAUAAAAAAAGAGCUGAGGGUAUGAAUCUUUUAAGUGACCCCAUCAAAGAAAAAGUUUCUGGAGACCUGUAUUUUAGUUAUACAGGAACUUCUUAUGGGAAGUUUUAGUACGGCAUACACUGCUUACUGUAUUAGUCAGGUGUGCAAAUGACUAAAGGAUAAUGCUAUUGGGAAGACAUACAACUCCCAAUUGCCUAUGCAGUAAAUCUUCCAGUGGAGGGGAAGAGGAGUCUGCAAUUUCAAUCAUCCUUAAUGUGCUUCGAUGUACCAGCACAGCUUUUAAUUAAAACUAUGGAGCAGGAGGGGGGUUUAUUUCACUCCAGAGCAGGACGGGUGGUAAUGAUGAGAAGGGGAGGGCUCUUUACUUAUUAAUUUGCAAUAUUACUAGUAUCCCUCCCAUGAACAUCCAUCUGGUGCCUGAAAGCCACAGGGCUUAUUACUUACAGGGCACGUUCAUUGCUGAGCCUGUGAAUUUGCUGCAAAUCCCACUGUCAGCAACCCGGUAGCCCAUGAAGCCCUUGUCUCAUGAGUCUUCAGCCAAAAUGUGACACUUCACUGCAAGCUCUGGGAAUAAAGGUAAAAAUCUGCUCCUCUGUCAUGUGCAUUGCCUUCAGGGAGCAAGAGUUCCAAGGCAAGGCAGACCUGCAGAACAGCAACUGUGAAGCCAAAAGCUGCUUGAAGGGCACUCUGCAACUAAUAAUUUCUUCACAUGAGAGGGUGCUUGCACCUGCAAUGCCCUUUGGGCAGAUGUGGCCACAUGUCAGUGCAUGGAAGGAAGCUGCACACACUGUGCCUUAGUUACACUAAGCAACAUUACCAGUUAAUUUGAGCCACAGCAGUGUUGGGUUUGUUGUUGUUGUUUUCUCAUUAAAAAAAAUCUAUAUAAGCAAAGGCUGAUUAAUUUUAACCUUCCCUGCUAAAGAAACCCUGAAAGAAAACCUGUCUUUGUGUUCGGUUCAGAGCCACCUUGGAAAACCUUGGGGGUCAAAG